AACUUUCAACAACGGAUCUCUUGGUUCUCGCAUCGAUGAAGAACGCAGCGAACUGCGAUAAGUAAUGUGAAUUGCAGAAUUUUGUGAAUCAUCGAAUCUUUGAACGCACAUUGCGCCUUUUGGUAUUCCAAAAGGCAUACCUGUUUGAGAGUCAUU
rnacentral:rRNA from 1 species